GGACUACCCGGGUAUCUAAUCCCGUUGGCUCCCCUGGCUUUCGUCCAGAAGCGUCAGAUGAGUCCCAGGACACUGCCUUCGCCUUUGGUGUUCCUCCGGAUCUCUACGCAUUUCACCACUCCACCCGGAAUUCCGUGUCCCUCUGACUCCCUCAAGUCGUCUGGUUUUCUGCCGCCUUGCCAAGGUGAGCCUGGCACUGUCAGACAAGAACUUCGACGACCGCCUGCGGACCCUUUACGCCCAGUAACUCCGGACAACGCUCGCCCCCUACGUCUUACCGCGGCUGCUGGCAC
rnacentral:rRNA from 1 species